rnacentral:lncRNA from 1 species
GGGAACCAUGCCCGUCCAGGGAGAACCCUCCCACAAGCUGCGGCUGCUGAAGGAAGCCCAGACCUGCCCAGGCAGAGACUCAGAUAUAUCUGCCCACAGGAGAGAAUGCAACAGUCCGAGAUGUGCUUCCAGGCAUGCAGAGAGGCGAGGGCUCACCCCAGGUGCAAAGCCUGCUGCUGUCUGGCCAACCUCCACCUGCAUCAAAGGCCAUCCACAUCAGGGGCUGGCGCCAGUGGGCACAGCUGGCUCUCAGACCAACCAAGUCCUACACCCUCUUUAUCAUGAAUAAAUGCAUGAUAAAGAAAGUGAUAUUUUCAUCUCCGCCAUCUGCCUCUCUUGACCGACUGUGCCCAUGGACAAGAAACAAGAAGCAUGCCCUGUUGUACCUGGUGACCCUGGUGCCCAACUGUUUGGUUGACCCGUUCUAUUGUUUUGUCUUCUAAGCAUUUACACUUAUCAAAUUUUUUUCCUUCUACUUUUACUGGGUUUGUUCUGUCUUUCUCCCCAAAACUUCUUAAGUUGAACAAUUAAAACAAUAUCUUAAAGAGUACCUUUCUUCUUCACCAACAUAGGCAUUUAAAACUGUAAAUUCCCCUGUAAUUACAAUUUUACUUGCAUCUCCUAAGUUUUGAUAUGCAAUAUUAUUUUGUCAUUCAGUUUUAAAUAAUUACGCAUUUCUAUUUUGAGGUCUUCAUUGACUCAUGGAAUAAUUAGAAGCACAUUUUAAAAUUAAAAAAAUAAAAGCAGUUCAGAGUGGUUGUAGGGGAGGGAGUGACUGACUUCUGAUCUUGUGGCAUUAUGGCCAGAGAAAGUUAUAAAAUUAGAUUUGAUACCGAUUCUCUCAGUAUAGGGUGAUGCCUGCUUGGUGAGCUAAAAAAUAUAUAUGAAUGAUGAUCAGUUUUUCUAAGUUUCAAAGUAUGCUUUAAAAUAAUGCAUAUUCUCUAAACGGGAUGUACAGGUUUUCUCAGAUCACCUUUUUAAACUGUAUUUUAUAAUAUCCUUAUUAACUUGUUUCUGUUUGAUCAAUCUACUGAGAAGUAUGUCUAGAACUCCCAUGAUUGUGGAGGUUUGCCAAUUUCUCCUUAUAAGUCCAUCAAGUUCUCCUCUCUAUCUUGAGGCUACGUAUGUUAGAAGAUCGCGGAUUCAGAACUGUUUCUUUUCCUAGUGAAUUACUUUCUUGGUUAUUGUUUACCAGCCUCCUUGAUCCCUAGCGCUGCAUUUGCUUUGUGUCUCUGCUGUCAGGUGCCACUGUUAGGCUACUUCAUUUGAGGUCAGCAUUUUAACAUCACUUUUCCCAUCUGCCACUUUCUACCUCGAGAGGCGGCAGUGUUUCAGACCCCAGCUGGGUCCCUUAUGAGCUGAGUCACUGACCAAGAUGGGGAAACUGACCAUCAAUAAAAAUAUCAACAUGUCA